GCAUGCGUAGUUCAAUGGUAGAACGUUAGCUUCCCAAGCUGAAUACGCGGGUCCGAUUCCCGUCGCGUGCUCCA
rnacentral:tRNA from 1 species